rnacentral:rRNA from 1 species
UCUACGGGAGGCAGCAGUGGGGAAUAUUGCACAAUGGGGGGAACCCUGAUGCAGCGACGCCGCGUGAGUGAAGAAGUAUUUCGGUAUGUAAAGCUCUAUCAGCAGGGAAGAAGAUGACGGUACCUGACUAAGAAGCCCCGGCUAACUACGUGCCAGCAGCCGCGGUAAUACGUAGGGGGCAAGCGUUAUCCGGAUUUACUGGGUGUAAAGGGAGCGUAGACGGCAGGGCAAGUCUGGAGUGAAAGCCCGGGGCCCAACCCCGGGACUGCUUUGGAAACUGCCAUGCUAGAGUGCUGGAGAGGUAAGCGGAAUUCCUAGUGUAGCGGUGAAAUGCUUAGAUAUCACGAAGAACCCCGAUUGCGAAGGCAGCUUACUAAACUGUGACUGACAUUGAUGCUCGAAAGUGUGGGUAUCAAACAGGAUUAGAUACCCGAGUAGUC